GGCAAGUCUGAGGCGGUCAGCGCCAUCUUGGAAUGGCGAUUAGCUUCCCACAAUUUUGGAGGGCCACUAACUUUGGACCUAAUGAAAUCACCUUGAUAGUAGCACUAUGCAACUGACCUGACCUGACCGCUUUACCUCCAUGUCUACAAAGGCCCUGUGUGUGUUGGCAAGCGGCUGCCUUUCACCUCUAUGGCUCGGCAAUUACGUGGUGUAACGGAGGCAACGCAAAUAAGCAGAAAGAUUUUAUUAAACCAAAUGAG